GUACACGCUGUGACUAGCAUAUCAAUAAGCGGAGGAAAAGAAACUAACAAGGAUUCCCCUAGUAACGGCGAGUGAAGCGGGAAGAGCUCAAAUUUGAAAUCUUAAAGGGUUUCCCUUUACGAAUUGUAGUUUAAAGAAGUGUUUUCUGUUGAGGUUUUGGUAAAAGUUCUUUGGAAUAGGACAUCAUAGAGGGUGAGAAUCCCGUAUUUGACCUUUACUUUCAACUUUGUGAUACACUUUCAAAGAGUCGGAUUGUUUGGGAAUGCAGUCCAAAAUGGGUGGUAAAUUUCAUCUAAAGCUAAAUAUUGGCGAGAGACCGAUAGCGAACAAGUACCGUGAGGGAAAGAUGAAAAGAACUUCGAAAAGAGAGUUAAACAGUACGUGAAAUUGUCAAAAGGGAAGCGUUUGACACCAGUGUUGUUUUUCUGAAAAAUCAAUUAAAGAACUGUUUAUGCUAAGCUGUUUAGACUUUAUCAGCUAUCUGUUUAGUUUUGAGCUUUUCUUUAAUGCACUUUUCAGUUAACAAGUCAACAUCAAUUUCUUUUGCUGUAAAAAAGCUUGAGGAAGGUGGCUUGAGAUUCGUCUUAAGUGUUUAUAGCCUCUUGCCUAUGCAGUCGGAGAGAUUGAGGUCUGCAGCGUAGAUCCUUCGGGGCUAAAUGCAUUUGUGCUAAGUUAUAGCAUUUUAUAGACAACUUGUUGACUAUGAUUUGUCUUGUAGCUUACUCGCUUAUGUUAUUUUACCUACGCUUAGGAUGUUGACGAGACUGUCGAUCUC
rnacentral:rRNA from 1 species